UACGUAGGGGGCAAGCGUUAUCCGGAUUUACUGGGUGUAAAGGGAGCGUAGACGGUUGUAUAAGUCUGGAGUGAAAGCCCGGGGCCCAACCCCGGGACUGCUUUGGAAACUGUGUAACUUGAGUACAGGAGGGGCAGGCGGAAUUCCUGGUGUAGCGGUGAAAUGCGUAGAUAUUAGGAGGAACACCAGUGGCGAAGGCGACUUUCUGGACAGUAACUGACGUUGAGGCACGAAAGUGUGGGGAGCAAACAGG
rnacentral:rRNA from 1 species